rnacentral:rRNA from 1 species
GAUGAACGCUGGCGGCGUGCUUAACACAUGCAAGUCGAACGGAAAGGCUCCUGCUUGCAGGGGUACUCGAGUGGCGAACGGGUGAGUAACACGUGGGUGAUCUGCCCUGCACUUCGGGAUAAGCCUGGGUAACUGGGUCUAAUAUCGGAUAGGACCACAUCUUGGGUGGUGUGGUGGAAAGUUUUUCGGUGUGGGAUGAGCUCGCGGCCUAUCAGCUUGUUGGUGGGGUAAUGGCCUACCAAGGCGUCGACGGGUAGCCGGCCUGAGAGGGUGUACGGCCACAUUGGGACUGAGAUACGGCGCAGACUCCUACGGGAGGCAGCGGUGGGGAAUAUUGCACAAUGGGCGCAAGCCUGAUGCAGCGACGCCGCGUGGGGGAUGACGGCCUUCGGGUUGUGAACUCCUUUCGCUAGGGACGAAGCGGAAGUGACGGUACCUGGAGAAGAAGCACCGGCUAACUACGUG